UCCCACCGGUGCUUCGACAUGGCGGCAGUUAUAAGCUUCUAGUGAAUGGCCUAAGCGGAGUCUACUUCCAGCAACAAGCUUCUCUCACAGUUGACAAAGGCUAUAUCCCGAAACGAUUUGCCGUUCACAUUCAACUUGACAAGGCGAUCUAUAAGCCAGGUCAAACAAUCAACUUUCGAACAUUUGGUGUCUACUCAGACAUGACCGUGUUCAGUGGAUAUUUCGACGUGGAUAUUUACGACCCCAAAGGCAAUCACAUGAAGAAGAUGACAAACGUUUCCUCGGGCGCCUACGGAGUUGUAGAGGACCUGAUGAUCAUGGAUGAUGAACCCUUGCUUGGCACGUGGCGUAUUGAGUCCAAGGCCCGAAGCCAUGACUACGAAAACAACACCUAUACUGAU